GUUCACAGGCUGGUACUCAAUCCGCUGAGCCACACCAGCCAGGGCUAUAUAUUCUUUAUUUUGUAUAUAUAUGUAAGUAUUAGUUGAGAGUUGUCUGCCCAGGAAGGAACGUUAGUGCUUUCUGCAUUCUUUGUUCCAAAGCAGGUUGUGUGGCUAAGAUUCCCUACUCUCCCACUGUAUAUUGUUGUUCUGCAGAGUCAAUUGCCAGGAUACAAUAAAAAAGUUCCUGUUAAUUUUUUAUUAAGAAAGACAUACGAAUUGCAAAGUGGUAUUGAUAACCUGGUCAUUAACUUUUUGAAGUUAAAAACAUCAUCUACCUGAUGACCAGUGUCUCUCAUUUUACUAAGGGUGGUGGGUCUGUGGAUAGACCACUGUGACACUUAAGACCAGUAUUUUUGGGCUCUACCACCAUCUUUAAAACAUGCCUUGUUUGGGCUAUACAACCAUUCACUUUUAGAAAAACUACCUAAAUUUUCAAAUCCUUAAAUUUCUUCAUCUGAAACACCAACCAGCCCCUACUUAUUUCAAGAAGUUCAGUGUAAAAGAAUGAAAUGAGACAACACAUAUUGAAGUGCUUUUGAAAACCAUUGAUAACCUUAUUUGAUUAACAUAUUACAUGAAAUGCACCCUGUUUAAUUGUGCUCAUGUAAAGUAUUCUUAAGCACCACACUGAAGAGAGGACUUAAAAAUGAUGGCACCUGUUUCCCUGUUUUAUAUCACAAGAAAAUAAGCUAAGAUGUAAUCGGUCUUGUGGAUGUAAAUUCCAACAGUGACCCACCUGGUAAAAGUGAGUAGCCUAGCCUCUAGUGUGCAGGUUGUGGUGGCAGAGAAGUAUUUAAUAAGGAACUGCUGAAGCAAAUAACUAGUUAUUGCAACAGCAGUUCUUUGUAAUCACUGAAAAAGGGUACUAUUCCUCUGAACAGGAUGUCAAAUGGUCAGACCAGGUUAGGGUGCAGUUUGCACUACUAGCUCCUUGGACAGCUGUAAGAAGAGUCUCUGGCUCUUUAGAAUACUGGAUGAAUUCAGAGCCAGUUCUGAACCCCCACUCAGGAAGCACAAGUCAAUUUUAGGUGGAUUGAAGUCUGCACUAGAAAGCAUCCAAAGGACAUUAUGAGCAUGUAAGACCUGAGGAAUUCAAGCAGUUUUAAGAAGCUGUAUAUUCAGCAGAUCCUUCUUCUGAGAAUCUGGAUAAGCUUCAUCUAAUCUAAAGGUGCCUUGUAGGUCACCUGGAGAAAAAGAUCUUCCUCAGAAGAAUAGGCUUGUUGCUUUACAGUGUUAGUGACCCAUUCCCUUUGACGAUCCCUAGGUGGAGAUGGGGCAUGAGGAUCCUCCAAGGGAAAAGCUCACUACCAUUGGGCAACAAUCCUAGGCUAGGAGUUUCUAUCAAGAUUCUUUCUUGUGCCCAGAUAGGAAGGUGGAACCUCAAGAUAUCCUCCACGUUAGAGCUCCUGAUUGUUUCCUUCAUAUCUACCAAGUUAUCUUUCUCAAAAGCAAGGCAGAGGACAAGAAAUUGGAACACACCAAAAGAAGAUCAAUGUGCCUGGCACUCAAACAUUUUAGAACAGCAGAAUGAACUCUUGUGCCCCUUAGUGUAUGUUUGCUCUUCUACUUCUUACCCAUUUCUUCUAAAUGUCUGCCUUGGCUUAUCUCUUUCAUUUAUAAGUGUAUAUUUCUUUGCUUGUCUAUUUCUUCCUUGACUGUCCUUGGUCUUUGCUCUCUGAAGUGUGUCUUACCCACUUCCAUGUUCAUCUUGCUUGUUUGUUCUCUGUGUAUCUUUGUCUGAUUUUCCUUUUUGUCAUAACUUGUUUGUGUCUUGUCUUAGAUCUCUCAUUUUUUCAAUUUGUUACCGAUUAUUUUCACUCUCCCAGAUCAGGUUCUUUCAUUGUUCUUACCAUUGUGUCUGAGUCACAUGCUGUGUGCUUUUUUCUCACUCCUUGUCCUAUCUACCUCUCUCUCUUUUUUCCUCUUUGUGAAUUGUUAUUGUUUGUCGCCUUCUCCCCUUUUGUUGGUUUGACAUUUUACCUUUUUCUGAUUCUGGUCUCCCUUCUACUGUUUCUACUCUUUAUCUUGGAUUUCUCUUCUCUAUAUAUUCUUUCUGCCUCUCUUGGCUCAUUUUCAUUCUUUUGUCCUGCUCUGUGUGCCUCGGUGUCUCUUUGUUCUUUGUGAUCUUCCAUUUCAGUGCCUUUCCUCUCUUUGUUCUCCUGUUUUAUUGCUUUUCUUCUUCUACCCACUCUUGGGUUUUUCAGCAUCUUCAUGAGUCUGUGUCUCCCUUUUUCAUAUCCUGCAAUCAUCUUUCCUUGCAUAUUUUUUGUGAACAUGUGCAUGUAUACCCAUGUGUGCAUGUUUGUGUAUGUUUGUGACAAAGGGGUGUCCUAACCCCUUCCCAGUAGGUGCAGAGUAUCUGCUAUCAAAAUAAGCAUUGCAGAGCUGUUCCUGAUGCCAGGCUCUCCUGUGAAAUAAUCCAAAAUUAAUAGAAGGCCCAAGGAUCCAAAGACCUAAGGGCAGAAAAUGGAAGGCCCAUAAUGGAUAGAAGUCCCAAAGUAGAAGACAAGUGAGCUUGAGACUUGAGACCUGUGAACUACAAUGGAAAACUGGUGUCCCAAAACAGAUGGAAACCUCAGGCUCAAGACCAUCAGAAGGCCUGAGAGUCAUGACAUACAUACAGAAGAUGGCCCUCUGUUGGACAGAAGACCUGACUCAAUUGGAUAGACGUCUUAUGUCUUCAGUCAGACAGAAGGCUGAAGACCCAGGAUGGGUGGCUGAAGGCCUAGGAGCAGGGACACAUGGAAGACCUGAGAUUUGAAACACAAGGCCCAAUAACAGAGGAAAUGCCAAUAUGAGAACCCUAAACCUCAACUCUUUUCUACUCCUAUCAUCCAUACUCGUGAACAUUUCAGUUCUCUCUUUCUAGUUUUUAUAUCUCCAUUUAAACUCAUUUUGAGAUGCCCUUUUUGAUGUUGUUAUUAUCUUGAAGAGCUAUCUUUAGAUUGGAAAUAUUAUGUUGGGGCCAGUGUAAGCCAGGUUUUAUCACAGUUUUGAGUCAUUUGUUAAGGUCGAUAAUAUUUUUAACUUCCAUUACUCUUGGCAUUCACUCCAUUUGGGAGAGACUUAUUGAUGAAAUUGUAUUUCAGUCUUACUUUUUCCUCAGAAGCUCUAGGCUGAUGAGAAGAGGAAAGCAUCAGGCUACUGAGGAAAACAUGCCAGACUAUGUAAAGAAAAUGUAAAGGGAUGCUCCUGGGCAAUGAGAACGAUUAGAGAAGAAAUACACAGAUGUGCCAGCCUGUUCAGAAGCACUAGCCUGCAAACACCUGACUUCUUUGAGCUUGGGUGAGCAGGAUUCCUGGGGUUUGGAAUUUCCUAGUGAUGGUUACAAAAAAAAAAAAAAAGAAUAAGUGGGCCUGGAACAGAGUGUGGCCCCAAGGAGAUAGCCUGAACUCCCUGCUCAUAGUAGUGGCCUAAUAAUUUGGUAGUCUGCACUGAUCCUGCCUUUGUGUUUAAUACCAACCUGUAGGCUUAAAGGUGAGAGAAUUUAGUAGUAUUUAGGAGGCUUAAUCCUUUUCUUCAUUUCCCCCCCCUCUUACCAUGAAGGAAGAUCAUUUAAAUGAUUGAGAUUAUAUAUGAAAGCAAGGUAUUCUCAUUAAUACUGUAUUGGCAGCCAUGCAUUGCCAGUAUUUGAAAGAGUACUGUCUGUUGUGAAGCAUUAUGUACUUCGGGGGUUAUCAUACCCUUUCUGUAAAGGGUCAGAUGUUAAAUAUUUUAGUCUUUGCAGGCCAUAUGGUCUCUACAUUUUUUUACAAUCCUGUAGAAAGGAAAAACUAUUCUUAGCUUCUGAACCAAAUUGAUUUGGCCUGUGGGCCACAGUUACCUCUGAUGUAAAUGCCAGGCUCUGUGCUGAAUAAUAUUAAUUUCCUUGUGUGAGCCUGUCCUUGUGCUUGGCACUGAGGAAUUAAUGAUUAUUUAUGAUCACAUCCAGGUGACCUGAAUAAAAAUGUGUGAAUAUGGUUUUAAACUAUGACAGUGCUUAAAGACUUAACAAAUUUCAGAGUUGAUGAAUGAAUAUUGAUUAUGUAGUAUAUUCAUUCCACUGUAUAGGCACUGGAUGCAAGGAUUAGAAGAAGCAUGAAUAAAGUGCUUUGUCAAAAGUAUGUAAUACUAUGCAGAUAUUAGAAAUUAAGUGAUUGAUAAAUGAAAAAUUGAUAUAUUUGUAUCCAUGAUGUUUCUGCUCCUUUGAUGAUUUUGAGUAAAAAUACAGUAUUCCAGGUAGCAGAAAAGAAAACACAUGGAAACUGCUUUUAAAGCUAUAAAAGCUACACAGCGAACACAGGGACUCAUCUAUUGUGAUGACUUAUAAUGUGCCAGAUAACAUGCUAGGCACUAUGGAUAACAAAGGGGGAAAAAGUAUAUUCUCAAUAUAGAAUUAAAAGUUUUAGAUGAGGAGUACAUUUUAAAGUGCUUUGUAAACUAAAGCACUAAAUACCAAUGGGUUAAAUGUUUAUGAAUGAAUAAAUAUUAAUAGCCUUUUAUGGGCCAGCUAUUGUUUGAGGUUCUGUGAAAUCUAAAAUAAUGCUCUCAAGUAAUAAGGGGAGCUCUGCAUUAUUAGAUGUAAGGAAUUAGAUACUGCUUAUUUUAAUCAGUCAAGACUUAGCUGGUGAUGUCAAGUUAUUUCCAGUAUAUUUUCCCAUGUAACAGGAAAAUGUAAUGAAUGAGAUUGAAGCUUCUAAACUAUAAAAUGUUACAUAAACACAAGAAAUUAAAUGUUAUAUGUGUGAAUAAAACUGUGAGAUAAACAUUGUCUAUAAAAUUCUCACUGUGUGCUUGACUCACUAUGAGAAAGCUAGUAUAAAUAAUUAUACAAACUGAAGGUUUCAAUUCUUGUUGAGUGAAUGAAUCUCAGUUGCCUACUAUGUGAGCUCACUGUUGUAGGCACUAAAAAGAUACACAAAUUGUCAUUUCAUUGUGCCUACAGUUGAGAUAAAGGCAAUACAUGUUAGCAUUUUGCAAAGUCUAAAGCACCAUAUAAAUGUAACUAUUGAUUUUCUUAUUUGUUGCUGAUACUAGACUUAUAAAAUUGUAUCACAGCUACAAUGCUGUGAAAAAAGUUGGAAAAAUUUUGAGGAAGUAUUGUUAAGUACUGAAUACUUCGAAUAUAAUAUGUAAAAGAUUAUGUUUAUGAUGAAUGCAAGACUGGAUAAUAAUUAUCUGCCAGUCUUUUUGCUAGGCAUUGAGGGUCUGAAGAUGAACCAUCUUUAUUGCAAUUCAUAAGUCUUAAACAGCCGUGCAUAUAUAAGCAAUAUCUGCUGAAUGAAUAAGGAUGAUUUACUCCCUUCAUUCCCAGAGAUAGCAACUAGUAAUGCAAAAAUUCAUUCAUUACCCUUAUUACUGAACCUGUUACAGAGACUUGUGUGUAAAUAUAGAAAACCUAGUGUUCUAUACAGAUAUAAGGAAUUAACUUGGCUUAAUUAAUAAUGACUGAUUACUUUCUAUGAGGCUCAAAAUUACAUAUGCCCUAGUAUAUAAAAAUCAUUUUAUCCUUAUGGAAUGUUCACAGGAGGAAAUAAAGUAAUAUGUGUGAGAUCCACACUAAAAGGCACUUAACCACUGCUAGGCAUAUUUAAUGAUGAAAACAUGGGAAAAACAGAAUUACGCAAUGCAGUAUGCAAUAAAGGCCGGGCUAGGUGGAAAAAUACAAUCCAGACUGAAGUGCUACUUACUCCUUGUUAGCCUGAGUGAAGAGAUGGGAAUUUUUUUUGAAAAAAGCAAGGUGUCUUGGUUCUCCAUCAGUUUUUUUAAAUGCUGAAUGCUGAAGAUGGAGGUGAAUUAGAUCCACCCCGGCCUUGCUUAGACAUUUGAGGAUUAAAAAUACAUGACUCAGGUUUGCUUUUAGAUUCAUUUGACAAACAUGUCAUGUUUUAUGUGGAAUAUAUAAUUCUAAGCCCUGAACACAAAAAGUGAAAUGGGCCUGGUCAAAAGGUCUUUAGAUCACAGGUCAUAGUUGAAGAUAUGAAAACAUCUUUGAUUUUGAGUAAAUAUUUGUAGGCCUGUUUCCUGGGAAGUACUAUGCUUACUUAAUUAGUUGUGUAAGUAUAGUUCGGAAAAACUAUUGACUUGCCUUGGGAAUUAAAAAAUAGCAAAAAAAGGGGCAUGGUUCUUUUAAUAUAAAAUGAAGACAUGUUCUCUAGGCCUAGUCACAACUUCACUUGCUCAUUGGCCUAAGUUGAAGCCAGAACACUUAUAAAAAGGCUCAUGGUUUGUCCUUUAAUUCAUUAAUUUAAGAUUGUGCCUUUAUUAUAAACAGUUUAAGAUGAGAAUUGAGAUAAAACAAGUGGUUUUGUAACUAUUUGCUCAUUGGAUUGGCUUAAAAUGAGGAAACCUUUUGAGCAAUAAAAUUGUUCUAGUUUUUACAUAUAUUUUAAACACUUAUUUACUCUGAUUAAAGUACUGUCCUUAAGUGUUGAGGAGAGUGAAUAGAUUCAAAAGACCAAAAUGUACUUGAACCUCACUUGCUUAUGGUUGAAAUAUAAGAAUAAAUUUUAUGACUGCAGGUCUUUUCACUAGCUAAAAAUUCAUUGAGCAGCUGUGAUAGUAAGAUAUACCAAGAAGGAAUGAUUAAAUAGAUCACCUUUUUGGCGUCUUUUAUAGAGUGGGAAUGAGAGCUUUUUAUUUAUUCAUUCAUACAAACAUUGGAGAAGGUGAUGCUAAAUGAAAUAGAUCUGGCACAAAAGGCACUUUGUCUUGGAGAUGCAAUAAAAAACAAGGAAUGGAAUGAAAACUCAUUAAACAGAAGUGUCUAUUUCAAGGCAAUGUGCUAUUUACCAGACAAAUCAAAAAAGCUCUUAACUGAAAGUAAUUUGUUUUUAACUGGUUUGGAGACUAGAUAUAAAAGAGUUUCCAUUCACUUUUCAUUUGUUCAUUCAUUCUACAAGUGUAUUUGAGGACCUAUUGUAUAUAUGACUCUUUGCUCUGUACUCAGUUGACCCCAGAAACAUAAAAACAUGAAUGUUUUCCGAGAGAAAUUUUAAAACUUUACUUUUGGGUUGUUUUCUUUUUAGGAGUAUGGCUUAGCCCUUGAAUAACAUUGUGUGGUUUAAUUCCUACUCCAUAUUUCUUCUCUCACUCUGGCCACUACAAUAAGCAGGGUUUUCCACUGAGCUUCCUCCUUAAGUUGCAUGAACCCUCCUUAUAGGCACUUCAUUUUUCCUCUCUUGUCUCAUGAAAAUGGCUGUGGCCACUGCUAGGCAGAAGGAGGGGUGACAACUAAUUCCCAAACCCCAGUCUCAAUGGUACCAGACUUGGUGAACCACUCAUACUCAAGUCACUACCUUUACCAUUUAGUCUAUUUUCAAUUCUUUACAUUUUACAUUCUGAUAAGUAUAUACUGCCUAAAGAAAUCUCUGAAGAACAAUCCCCAGGUAGUACAUAGCAAGAUUGGAGAUGGAGACAUAAUUUCUCUUGCAACAGAUUUUAUACUUAAACCUUAGGUACUGCCUUAUCAGCAUCAAAACUGGCUCAUGAUUAAUUAAAUUAUUGUAAGUGAUAAGAAAAAAAACCCUGCUCAUGAAAGGACUUGUUAUGAUAGAAUAAUGUCGGAAUGAAAAUGGCUUAACAAUUUUUACAUUGCUUAAAUUUUAAGAAUAAUAAGAAUUGGAAGUAAUUGGCAAACAAAUCUACGCCCAAAUGGGCUUUGACCUUUUCUAUUUUGAAAUCACUCACAGAGGGUGGGAUAGGAGGAAGAGUGAAAGAAAAGGUCAAACCUGUUUAUAAGGCACCCUGCCUUUGUUUUAGAUUGGUUAAGAAACACUCCUUUUUAGGUGGGGAUUGGGUGCAUUAUUGGAAAAUGCAAAGGAGAGAGUAACUACAAGCCUUCUUUUCGCAGUCGCUGGUAUCCUAAGACUACCUACCACUACUGAUAAAACAAGAAUAAGAGAACAUGGUACCAUCAUCUGAUUUUUGUGACAUAAUGAAGUAGUGAACAAAUUCGUUUUUGUAAGAAAUGGCUACAUCUCUAUUCUUCUACUGAAAAGGGAACAUAUAUGCCAAAAUGGAAGAAACAUUUGGACUGGUGAACUGAUGUGAAUUGUAGAAUCUCUGAGCUUUGACUGUUGAAAAUGUACAAAUCAUGCUCAGCUUGGGUGACCAUCGCAACUAAGAUUAGGGAGUAUGUUUUCUAAUGUCAAAUAAAAUGUACUGUUUUGAAAACU